GACGAACGCUGGCGGCGUGCUUAACACAUGCAAGUCGAACGGAAAAGCGCUGGUCUUUUUGGGUGCUCGGGUGGAGAACGGAUGAGUUACGCGUGACUAACCUGACCUUGACUCUGGUUUUGCUUAAGCACACUGGAGCUGAUCCAGGACAGGAGAUUCUGCUGCUUGGUGGGGGCUGGAUAGGUUCGGAGGUUGGGGAUGGACUCGCGGUUUAGCGGCUUGUUGGUGGGGCGGUGGCUUACCGAGGCGUUGAGGGGUAGCCGGCCUGAGAGGGUGAUAGGCCACAGUGGGAAGGAGAGACGGCCGAGACACCUACGGGAGGCAGAAGUUGGGAAUAAGGCACAAUGGGCGGAAGCCUGAGGCAGCAACGCGGCGUGCGGGAGUACGGCCUUCGGGUUGUAAACCGCGGUCGCCUGUUACGAAGCUGGAGUGACGGUAAUGGGUAAAGAAGCACCGGCUAACUACGUG
rnacentral:rRNA from 1 species